rnacentral:rRNA from 1 species
AAUUUUGCGCAAUGGGGGAAACCCUGACGCAGCAACGCCGCGUGUGUGAUGAAGCUUUUCGGAGUGUAAAACACUGUCAGUGGGGACGAAACUUGACGGUACCCACAGAGGAAGCACCGGCUAACUCCGUGCCAGCAGCCGCGGUAAUACGGAGGGUGCAAGCGUUGUCCGGAAUCAUUGGGCGUAAAGCGUUCGUAGGCGGCAUAUUAAGUCUGGUGUUAAAGCCUGAGGCUCAACCUCAGUUCGGCACUGGAUACUGAUAAGCUAGAAUGGAGUAGAGGUAAGGGGAAUUCCUGGUGUAGCGGUGAAAUGCGUAGAUAUCAGGAGGAACAUCGGCGGCGAAAGCGCCUUGCUGGACUCUAAUUGACGCUGAGGAACGAAAGCCGGGGGAGCAAAUGGG